GACGAACCGUGCGAACGUUGUUCGGAUUCACUGGGCUUAAAGGGCGCGUAGGCGGGGGGUCAAGUCCGAGGUGAAAUCUUUCGGCUCAACCGGAAAAGUGCCUUGGAUACGGACUCUCUCGAGGGAGGUAGGGGCAUGUGGAACUUCCGGUGGAGCGGCGAAAUGCGCAGAUAUCAGGAGGAACACCGGUGGCGAAGGCGGGUCUCUGGGCCGAAACUGACGCUGAGGAGCGAAAGCGUGGGGAGCGAACAGG
rnacentral:rRNA from 1 species